CUUCACUACCGGGGCCGCACUGUGAUUCUAUGAGUAGGAAGGGUAGGUCCUUCACUACCGGGGCAGCACUGUGAUUCUACGAGUAGAAAGGAUAGGUCCUUCACUACCGGGGCAGCACUGUGAUUCUACAAGUAGAAAGGAUAGGUCCUUCACUACUGGGGCAGCACUGUGAUUCUACAAGUAGAAAGGAUAGGUCCUUCACUACCGGGGCAGCACUGUGAUUCUAGGAGUAGAAAGGGUAGGUCAUUCGCUACUGGGGGCAGCACUGUGAUUCUACGAGUAGGAAGGGUAGGUCCUUCCCUACCGGGGCAGCACUGUGAUUCUAGGAGUAGAAAGGGUAGGUCCUUCCCUACCGGGGCAGCACUGUGAUUCUACGAGUAGGAAGGGUAGGUCCUUCCCUACCGGGGCAGCACUGUGAUUCUAGGAGUAGAAAGGGUAGGUCCUUCACUACCGGGGCAGCACUGUGAUUCUACGAGUAGGAAGGGUAGGUCAUUCGCUACUGGGGGCAGCAGGUACCACUUUUGGUCUAGUAAAAGAAGGAACAGACUCCCACUGUGAUUAAGUACC